AGUUUGAUCCUGGCUCAGGAUGAACGCUAGCGGCAACGGCUCACCAAGGCGACGAUGACUAGGGGAUCUGAGAGGAUGACCCCCCACACUGGUACUGAGACACGGACCAGACUCCUACGGGAGGCAGCAGUAAGGAAUAUUGGUCAAUGGAGGCAACUCUGAACCAGCCAUGCCGCGUGCAGGAAGACUGCCUUAUGGGUUGUAAACUGCUUUUAUACGGGAAUAAACCUUGAUUCGUGAAUCGAGCUGAAUGUACCGUAAGAAUAAGGAUCGGCUAACUCCGUGCCAGCAGCCGCGGUAAUACGGAGGAUCCAAGCGUUAUCCGGAUUUAUUGGGUUUAAAGGGAGCGUAGGCGGCCUAUUAAGUCAGGGGUGAAAGACGGUGGCUCAACCAUCGCAGUGCCUUUGAUACUGGUAGGCUUGAAUGUAGUUGAGGUAGGCGGAAUGUGACAAGUAGCAGUGAAAUGCAUAGAUAUGUCACAGAACACCGAUUGCGAAGGCAGCUUACUAAGCUAUGAUUGACGCUGAGGCUCGAAAGCGUGGGGAUCAAACAGGAUUAGAUACCCUGGUAGUCCACGCCCUAAACGAUGAUAACUCGAUGUUGGCGAUAUACAGUCAGCGUCCAAGCGAAAGCGUUAAGUUAUCCACCUGGGGAGUACGCCCGCAAGGGUGAAACUCAAAGGAAUUGACGGGGGCCCGCACAAGCGGAGGAGCAUGUGGUUUAAUUCGAUGAUACGCGAGGAACCUUACCCGGGCUUGAAAGUUACUGAAGAAUUUAGAGAUAGAUUCGUCCUUCGGGACAGGAAACUAGGUGCUGCAUGGCUGUCGUCAGCUCGUG
rnacentral:rRNA from 1 species